rnacentral:rRNA from 1 species
UACGUAGGGUGCAAACGUUGUCCGGAAUUACUGGGCGUAAAGAGUUCGUAGGCGAUUUGUCGCAUCGUUUGUGAAAACCAGCAGCUCAACUGCUGGCUUGCAGGCGAUACGGGCAGACUUGAGUACUGCAGGGGAGACUGGAAUUCCUGGUGUAGCGGUGAAAUGCGCAGAUAUCAGGAAGAACACCGGUGGCGAAGGCGGGUCUCUGGGCAGUAACUGACGCUGAGGCACGACAGCGUGGGGAGCAAACAGG